UACGUAGGGUGCGAGCGUUAAUCGGAAUUACUGGGCGUAAAGCGUGCGCAGGCGGUUAUGUAAGACAGUUGUGAAAUCCCCGGGCUCAACCUGGGAAUUGCAUCUGUGACUGCAUAGCUAGAGUACGGUAGAGGGGGAUGGAAUUCCGCGUGUAGCAGUGAAAUGCGUAGAUAUUAUGGGGAACACCAAAAGCGAAGGCAGCAGACUGGGGCACUCCUGACACUGAAACAUGAAAGCGUGGGUAGCGAAAGGG
rnacentral:rRNA from 1 species